rnacentral:rRNA from 1 species
GACGAACCGUGCUAACGUUGUUCGGAAUCACUGGGCUUAAAGGGCGCGUAGGCGGGCCGGCCAGUCAGGGGUGAAAGCCCGCGGCUCAACCGCGGAAGGGCCUUUGAUACUGCCGGCCUCGAGCGAGGUAGGGGCGUGCGGAACUUCCGGUGGAGCGGUGAAAUGCGUAGAUAUCGGAAGGAACACCGGUGGCGAAAGCGGCGCGCUGGACCUCUUCUGACGCUGAGGCGCGAAAGCCAGGGGAGCAAACGGG